rnacentral:rRNA from 1 species
UACGAAGGGUGCAAGCGUUACUCGGAAUCACUGGGCGUAAAGCGUGCGUAGGCGGUUCGUUAAGUCUGCUGUGAAAGCCCUGGGCUCAACCUGGGAACUGCAGUGGAUACUGGCGGACUAGAGUGUGAUAGAGGAUGGUGGAAUUCCCGGUGUAGCGGUGAAAUGCGUAGAGAUCGGGAGGAACACCAGUGGCGAAGGCGGCCAUCUGGAUCAACACUGACGCUGAGGCACGAAAGCGUGGGGAGCGAACAGG